AGACAAACAUAUGUUAGGUUUGAUGCAUAACUUUUAUAUCCAGGAUAGCAGUAGAAUAAACUAUUUAUACCUUUGUUUGCUUCGAAUGUAUGGAACUUAAUUUACCAAAAGAAUCCCUGCAGUUUGCAAGUCCUAUUAUGGAUGUUACUUGGUUGGGUAGAGGUUUUUGAGUUAGUUUUUUGCUUAAAAGUUAGCAAUUUCGAUACUUCUUAUCUGCUAAGGACACCAAUGUGUUGGCCUGUCUCAGUUGUGCUGAACUGAUGGAGUUGCUCUGAAUGACUUUGCAACCUACUUGCAUUUGGUUCAUUCUCUAUGCUUAAAUAUAUCUUCUUGUGCUGUUUAGCUUGUAUUAAUUAUGUUUGUUCUUUAAGAACCCUAGCACUAUAAUGGAAAAUGCAAUUGAAUUGUUAUUAGCAUAUUGUGGUGUUUGAAAAAAGCCUCUGGUUCUAUCCUAUACAUGUUAUGAAGAAAGUCUUCCUUAUUCCAAUUUUGAUAUGCUAGCUGAUAUAAAUAAAUAUAUUGCAGGUGGAUACAGUGGCCAGCUUUUAUGUUUAGCAUACUUGUUGACUAUUUUUCAUUUUGGGCAAUGUGGGACAUAAUGUUUUUUACUUAUCCUAUAAGUUAGCAGUGUCUGAACAAU
rnacentral:misc_RNA from 1 species